CUGAAAUAGCAGCAACAGCAUCUACGUCCGCAUC
rnacentral:sRNA from 1 species